UACAUAAAGAGAAUACUUCAAAAUGAGAAGGUCCUGCCAUGGAAAAGAUGACUGGGUGGACAUAAAGUGGAAAGGAGGGGAAAUAACUCCCAGCAUGCAGCAGGACACCUUCAGCUGCGGGGUCUUUGUAAUGCAGAGUUCCACAAAGCCAACAACCGCUUCAUGUGUGCCACUGAUAAAGAACCUGGAUGUGGCCCAAAGACUGACUGGAUUGAAUGUUUUGCAUGCCAAUGGUGGUUCCAUGUGCUGUGCCUAGGAAUGAAGACAAGUUCAACAGAGUAAAGAACACAAACAGGAAGUGCAGUCUUUGUUGUUGGAGAAUGUAUGCAUUACCCCAUCCACACUGAAGAGGCUCUGACAUGUACAACAACCAGGGAUAAAGAGAAAGUUAACACGGUGAAAUGUUUCAUAUUUAAUUAAACUUAAGUGUCUGACAUGUUGGGAAAGAUUAAAGGUCUACAAUUUGUUUAAUUUGUCAAUAUUA